rnacentral:rRNA from 1 species
UACCGAUUGAAUGGCUCAGUGAGGCUUCCGGACUGGCCCAGGGAGGUCGGCAACGACCACCCAGGGCCGGAAAGCUAUCCAAACUCGGUCAUUUAGAGGAAGUAAAAGUCGUAACAAGGUCUCCGUUGGUGAACCAGCGGAGGGAUCAUUACAGAGUUGCAAAACUCCCAAACCAUCGUGAACGUUACCUACAUCGUUGCUUCGGCGGGUGGCGGGCUUCGGCCCUGCCCUCGGCCCCUCUCGGGGGCCCGCCGGAGGUACACCAAACUCUUGAAUUUACAUGGCCUCUCUGAGUCUUCUGUACUGAAUAAGUCAAAACUUUCAACAACGGAUCUCUUGGUUCUGGCAUCGAUGAAGAACGCAGCGAAAUGCGAUAAGUAAUGUGAAUUGCAGAAUUCAGUGAAUCAUCGAAUCUUUGAACGCACAUUGCGCCCGCCAGUAUUCUGGCGGGCAUGCCUGUCCGAGCGUCAUUUCAACCAUCAAGCCCCCGGCUUGUGUUGGGGACCUGCGGCACACCCGCAGGCCCUGAAAACCAGUGGCGGGCUCGCUGUCCACACCGAGCGUAGUAGCAUAUCUUUGUCUCGCUCAGGGCGUGCGGCGGGUUCCGGCCGUGAAACCCACCUUCUCGAAGGUACCCAAAGGUUGACCUCGGAUCAGGUAGGAAGACCCGCUGAACUUAAGCAUAUCAAUAA